AGUGAACGCUGGCGGUAGGCCUAACACAUGCAAGUCGAACGGCAGCACAGUAAGAGCUUGCUCUUACGGGUGGCGAGUGGCGGACGGGUGAGGAAUACAUCGGAAUCUACUUUUUCGUGGGGGAUAACGUAGGGAAACUUACGCUAAUACCGCAUACGACCUACGGGUGAAAGCAGGGGAUCUUCGGACCUUGCGCGAUUGAAUGAGCCGAUGUCGGAUUAGCUAGUUGGCGGGGUAAAGGCCCACCAAGGCGACGAUCCGUAGCUGGUCUGAGAGGAUGUUCAGGCACACUGGAAAUGAGACAAGGAACAGAAUCCUACGGGAGGCAGCAGGGGGGAAUAUUGGACAAUGGGGGGAAGCCUGAUACAGGCAUACCGCGUGGGUGAAGAAGGACUUCGGGUUGUAAAGCCCUUUUGUUGGGAAAGAAAAGCAGCAGGUUAAUACCCCGCUGUUCUGACGGUACCCAAAGAAUAAGCACCGGCUAACUUCGUG
rnacentral:rRNA from 1 species